rnacentral:lncRNA from 1 species
CUUUCUCUUAAAACCUCAUUUAGAUAUUUUCAAAGUGAUUUAAAGGAAUACAUGGAACCAAUAUAAAAACAAAAGACGUGAAACUGCCAUAACAAGGCGAAGGUGGGCGUGCCAAUGUUUACAUCUAACGCUGCCAAGCUUUGGAAGCUACAAACCGUGCUAACGAUGAAGCUAAUGCUAGCAUGAAUGUUCGGACAGUGGCAGCAGAGAGACAUUCAGAGCCAGCUGGGAUAGACCUGAGAUAGGGAAGCAGAGAGGAGGAAGAAACUGUGUGGCUGGAGGAGGAAAAAUGACCCAAGGGCAGUGUGGAAAAGAGAGCCCCCGUUGGUCUGGCGUGUGUCUUGGAACAUUCUACUGAUAUGUGGAAACAGACUAGCUUGCAAACUGAUGGGAACACAAGACGGCAGAGCGCCCACGGCAGCAAGGCAAGGUCAGAUAACACAGGAGACCAUGAAACUUCAGAUAGGAGAGGAAUUCCUCUUCUCUACCAAUGAUCUUCAUGUGCAGAUCCUUGACAUUGCUUUCAAUUUCUCUUCUCAUAUAUUCUUAAAGUGCCAUAAUGUGCUGUGUGGAUAAAAUAAAAAGUUGC